rnacentral:ribozyme from 1 species
GCUGCUCCAAAAGACAGCCUCCACGCGGCGAGCAGCGGGCAACGGGAGACAGUCCCGGCAAAUUGUCUUU